rnacentral:rRNA from 1 species
UACGGAGGGUGCAAGCGUUAUCCGGAUUUACUGGGUUUAAAGGGUGCGUAGGUGGGUGUGUAAGUCAGUGGUGAAAUACUUUCGCUUAACGAAGAACUGCCAUUGAUACUACCAGUCUUGAAUACAGUGGAGGUAGGCGGAAUGCGUCAUGUAGCGGUGAAAUGCUUAGAUAUGACGCAGAACACCAAUUGCGAAGGCAGCUUGCUACACUGUUAUUGACACUGAGGCACGAAAGCGUGGGGAUCAAACAGG